CAAUAGCGUAUAUUAAAGUUGUUGCAGUUAAAAAGCUCGUAGUUGGAUUUCUGGUGGGAGCGAUCGGUCUGGCGCUUAGCGCGAGUACUUGCAUCGUCUCCGGCCAUCCUUGGGGAGAGUCUGUCUGGCAUUAAGUUGUCGGGCAGAGGAUCCUCAUCGUUUACUGUGAAAAAAUUAGAGUGUUCAAAGCAGGCUUAUGCCGUUGAAUAUAUUAGCAUGGAAUAAUAAGAUAGGACUUUGGUACUAUUUUGUUGGUUUGCGCACCAAAGUAAUGAUUAAUAGGGACAGUUGGGGGUAUUCGUAUUCCGUUGUCAGAGGUGAAAUUCUUGGAUUUACGGAAGACGAACUACUGCGAAAGCAUUUACCAAGGAUGUUAUCAUUAA
rnacentral:rRNA from 1 species